rnacentral:rRNA from 1 species
GACGAACCGUGCGAACGUUGUUCGGAAUCACUGGGCUUAAAGGGUGCGUAGGCGGCGCGGGAAGUCGGGUGUGAAAUCUCGGAGCUUAACUCCGAAACUGCAUUCGAUACUGCCGUGCUUGAGGACUGGAGAGGAGACUGGAAUUUACGGUGUAGCGGUGAAAUGCGUAGAUAUCAGGAGGAACACCUAUUGCGAAGGCAGCUCGCUGGGACGUAACUGACGCUGAGACGCGAAAGCGUGGGGAGCAAACAGG